rnacentral:snRNA from 1 species
GUGCUUGCUCAGGCAGCACAUAUGAUAAAUUGGAAUCGAUACAGAGAAGAUUAGCAUGGCCCCUGCGAAAGGAUGACAUACAAAUUCAUAAAGCGUUUUCACAUUUU